UAGGGAAUCUUCCGCAAUGGACGGAAGUCUGACGGAGCAACGCCGCGUGAGUGAAGAAGGAUUUCGGUUCGUAAAACUCUGUUGUUAGGGAAGAAAAAAUGUAUAGUAACUAUAUACAAAAGAGACGGUACCUAACCAGAAAGCCACGGCUAACUACGUGCCAGCAGCCGCGGUAAUACGUAGGUGGCAAGCGUUGUCCGGAAUUAUUGGGCGUAAAGCGCGCGCAGGUGGUUUAGAAAGUCUGAUGUGAAAGCCCACGGCUCAACCGUGGAGGGUCAUUGGAAACUAAUAAACUUGAGUGCAGGAGAGAAAAGUGGAAUUCCUAGUGUAGCGGUGAAAUGCGUAGAGAUUAGGAGGAACACCGGUGGCGAAAGCGGCUUUUUGGCCUGCAACUGACACUGAGGCGCGAAAGCGUGGGGAGCAAACAGG
rnacentral:rRNA from 1 species